rnacentral:rRNA from 1 species
AGCGAACGUUAGCGGCAGGCUUAACACAUGCAAGUCGAGCGAGAAAGGGACUUCGGUCCUGAGUAGAGCGGCGGACGGGUGCGUAACACGUGGAUAAUCUACCCUUUGGCGGGGGAUAACAGUUCGAAAGAACUGCUAAUACCGCAUAAGUUGUUCGGGGCUCCGGUCCCGGGCAGGAAAGAGGGCGCUCGCAAGAGGCUCUCACCGAAGGAGGAGUCCGCGGCCCAUCAGCUAGUUGGCGAGGUAAUGGCUCACCAAGGCUUAGACGGGUAGCUGGUCUGAGAGGAUGAUCAGCCACACUGGGACUGAGACACGGCCCAGACUCCUACGGGAGGCAGCAGUGGGGAAUAUUGGACAAUGGGCGAAAGCCUGAUCCAGCAAUGCCGCGUGAGUGAUGAAGGCCUUAGGGUUGUAAAGUUCUUUUACCCGGGAUGAUAAUGACAGUACCGGGAGAAUAAGCCCGCUAACUCCGUGCCAGCAGCCGCGGUAAU